AUGUUAGAGUACAUUGAAGAAGAACGGUGGGGCGCCCGAGGUAUUCAUAUGAGGAUCGCAUUGAGGAGAUAGGGAGAAGAAGAGGGAAGACGGUUCGGGAGAUGAGGAGGAUGGCGAUGGAUAGGGAUAAAUGGAGGAAGUGGACCGAGGCUACCCCAACGCUGUAAGGCAUACUGGGGAGAGACAAAGAAGAAGAAGAAGAAUUAUCCAAAAUU